rnacentral:tRNA from 1 species
AACCAGGAGAUUCCAGGUUCGAGUCCUGGCGGGGAAGUUCCUCGUGGCCCAAUGGUCACGGCGUCUGGCUACGAA